CCAGGGCUCAACUCCUUCAAGCUUCUGCGAUUUGCAGAGGCUCCAUGAAGGCCUUUAUUUAUUAACUUUUACUGGAAAUUUGGAUCAUGGAUUUAGUCGAGAUGCCAUCCGUCAGAUCAAUGAAUCACUCGAUCAGGUUGGCAAUGAUAAGGAGGCAUUUGCGUUGGUCAUCACAAAUGAGGUUCUGACUCACUUCAAGCCAUCAUCUAAUGG